rnacentral:rRNA from 1 species
GAUGAACGCUAGCUACAGGCUUAACACAUGCAAGUCGCGGGGCAGCAUGGGGGUUGCUUGCAAUCCCCGAUGGCGACCGGCGCACGGGUGAGUAACGCGUAUCCAACCUGCCCUUCACCACGGGAUAACCCGGCGAAAGUCGGACUAAUACCGUAUGUUGUCCAUUGACGGCAUCCGAUUUGGACGAAAGGUUUGGCGGUGAAGGAUGGGGAUGCGUCCGAUUAGCUGGACGGCGGGGUGACGGCCCACCGUGGCGACGAUCGGUAGGGGUUCUGAGAGGAAGGUCCCCCACACUGGAACUGAGACCCGGUCCAGACACCUACGGGAGGCAGCAGUGAGGAAUAUUGGUCAAUGGGCGUAAGCCUGAACCAGCCAAGUAGCGUGCAGGAUGACGGCCCUAUGGGUUGUAAACUGCUUUUAUGCGGGGAUAAAGUGGCCCACGUGUGGGUUUUUGCAGGUACCGCAUGAAUAAGGACCGGCUAAUUCCGUG